CACGUGUCCUUAACCAUAACAACGAUGGCGGGUGUGUUGAGACUGCACGAGAAUGACUUUAUUUUGGUCUGUAACGAGCUUGCUCUCUUUUCUAAAACUUAUCUCUGGGCGGUGAACAGAAGACUGCGCGCUUCCGUUAAGCUCUUCGUGCACCGGAAAGGGGAGAGCAGAAAAGUCGUGGGACUGACAUCACUAAAAUACUUCUGAUACUUUGGGAAGCCAUACUUGAAGUCUGAAUGAGAUGUCACAAAAGAGAAACAGCAGGCAGUAUAAACCCAGGCUUGUGUCUUUCAGUAAUGGGGAGAGCAAAAAAAUCCUGACUGACUGAGACCACUAAAAGACUAAGUGCACUUUUUAAGUCAGGGGGAGCCAUGCAUUGAUGUCUAGUGAGAACAUAGAUGUCACAAAGGAGAAACAGUAGGCUUUUAAGAUGACAUGGAUAUGCAAACUUUGCAAUUUCAGAGUAGCAACACGUUUAGCACUCCUAAAACAUUAUUUCUCAUAAUGUGGAGAUGCUCCUUCAAGCCGGAAAUGACACUUACAAACGUGAUGGAACCGUCCUGAACAAUCCAGCAGUGACCUCUGACAUUCUUGAGACAAUUGCAGAUUCCAUUUUUUCCUAUACUGCUUACCCCACAGGCCUCCAAAUACUGGCCGUUGUUGAAGCCCUAGUUAAAAAAUAUCCAUGCUUAAAGGAGCCUGCAACAUCUUUUUCAGGGUUAUAUGGCUGGCAACAGUGUCUCAAAUGUAAGAGUAAUUAUCGUUCUAAACUCAGAAAGCGUGACGUGCCUUGUCCUGAGCUAGAAAUCAACUCCAUAAAAAGAAAGAAACCUAGGGACAAAAAUCCAGCUAAAAACUGUAUGAAACCAAAAAGAGCGGAAGUGAACUACCUUCCUCCACACCCACAAGGAGAGACAACUGAAAGUUUAGAGAAGAUACGGCUGGAGCUACUUGAAGAUUUUAAAAAGAAAAACAAUGACAGGGUGAUAUUUCCAAAAAUGGCCCAAACAUUCUCCUAUCGAAGACUGGAGGUGGUGACUGGCAGUCCAGCUGCUGAUGACUUCAAAGAAAGGUGGCCAGCACACUUUACGGAAGCUGGGAUAAAAGAAGAGUUUCGGAGAAUAACCACCAUUCCCCUUGAGCAGACCUUCAUGUUCAAUCUGGACAGUUGCACUCCAAAACUGCUUUCUGUACUUGAGAAGAAGGAUGGUGCUAUCGGGGCAAAACUGAGACCUAUUUUGGACAAGCAGAGACAGGACCAACCAGUUGAGAUGAAACGUGGAGAAGUGAUUGGUGGAUUAAUGCUCUAACUUGGUGAAAAUGAGGAAGAACUCUUUCUAGAUUGCCAGGCGGACAGCUUUGAGGACGUUUGGCAGCACAAUAUGAAGAUUGCUGUUGUUGGUGCUUCCUACGCUGAAGAUCCUGUAGAUGUCUCUCUUAUUCUUGACGGCAAGGAGGUUGUGACUGGAUGUGGAAAUACUGCAAAGGCAUGUACACUGCUAAUGGGUCUGAUAUAUUUCCUCAGUCUUGCUUAUCCUCCAACACUGCGUUACACUUUUGAAGUGUUCCAGAAGCUUUUCUUAGAUUUAGACGCAAUAAAGCUAUCCCCCAAAGUACAAACUCUGAAAAUGAAGUUGCUGUCCAAAACUUAAAAGAUGACAUUUUAUUCAGCUUUGUUCAGCUUGGUAUGCCAUUGCCAUUAUAGCAGUUUAUGCUAUAAAGUUGUAUUGUUAUUGUGUAACUCUUGCACAUGCUUCAAAGUCGUUAAUUGUUCAUGAAUGUUAAUACAGUUGCAAAACCUAUGCAGCCAUUUCUCACAGCUGUGCCUUCAGAAAGGACUUUAAGUUUAUAAUAGUAUGACAACAAGAAUUGCUGAUUUGUUUUGGUUUUUUUUUCAAGUGUAAAACUUGGACAAAAAAGGCUGUCAAUAAAACAAAGUUGUUAAA